rnacentral:rRNA from 1 species
AGAGUUUGAUCCUGGCUCAGGAUGAACGCUAGCUACAGGCUUAACACAUGCAAGUCGAGGGGAAACGACAUCGAAAGCUUGCUUUUGAUGGGCGUCGACCGGCGCACGGGUGAGUAACGCGUAUCCAACCUGCCCACCACUUGGGAAUAACCUUGCGAAAGUAAGACUAAUACCCAAUGAUAUCUCUAGAAGACAUCUGAAAGAGAUUAAAGAUUUAUCGGUGAUGGAUGGGGAUGCGUCUGAUUAGCUUGUUGGCGGGGUAACGGCCCACCAAGGCAAUGAUCAGUAGGGGUUCUGAGAGGAAGGUCCCCCACAUUGGAACUGAGACACGGUCCAAACCCCUACGGGAGGCAGCAGUGAGGAAUAUUGGUCAAUGGACGAGAGUCUGAACCAGCCAAGUAGCGUGCAGGAUGACGGCCCUAUGGGUUGUAAACUGCUUUUAUAAGGGAAUAAAGUUAGUCUCGUGAGACUUUUUGCAUGUACCUUAUGAAUAAGGACCGGCUAAUUCCGUGCCAGCAGCCGCGGUAAUACGGAAGGUCCGGGCGUUAUCCGGAUUUAUUGGGUUUAAAGGGAGCGUAGGCCGGAGAUUAAGCGUGUUGUGAAAUGUAGAUGCUCAACAUCUGAACUGCAGCGCGAACUGGUUUCCUUGAGUACGCACAAAGUGGGCGGAAUUCGUGGUGUAGCGGUGAAAUGCUUAGAUAUCACGAAGAACUCCGAUUGCGAAGGCAGCUCACUGGAGCGCAACUGACGCUGAAGCUCGAAAGUGCGGGUAUCGAACAGGAUUAGAUACCCUGGUAGU